rnacentral:misc_RNA from 1 species
UUUCCGUAGGUGAACCUGCGGAAGGAUCAUUACUGAGUGCCGGUCCCUCGUGGUCUUAACCUCCCAACCUUGUCUCGUGUAAACCCAGUUGCUCAGGCGGGCACACUGGGAAUUAUCAGUCGCCGAGUGGCACUGCGCUCCUGGGCCCGUGCCCGACAGAGCGCCGUUGAACCCAAAUGAAGAUGGACUGUCUGAACAAGAAUGUUAAAAAACAAAACUUUCAGCAAUGGAACUCUUGGUUCAGGCAUCGAGGAGGAACGGAGCAGAUCUGAAGGGCAA